rnacentral:rRNA from 1 species
UACAGAGGGUGCGAGCGUUAAUCGGAAUUACUGGGCGUAAAGGGUGCGUAGGUGGCUACGUAAGUUAGGUGUGAAAGUCCUGGGCUUAACCUGGGGAUUGCGCCUGAUACUGUGUAGCUAGAGUCCUGUAGAGAAAAGUGGAAUUUCCGGUGUAGCGGUGAAAUGCGUAGAUAUCGGAAGGAACAUCGGUGGCGAAGGCGACUUUCUGGACAGAGACUGACACUGAGGCACGAAAGCAUGGGGAGCAAACAGG